rnacentral:lncRNA from 1 species
UAUAACCUUCCAAUUUCCGUGAAGUUCAUUAGUCAUUCAGGGCAGAAAUUUUUUCAGCCAAAUACACAAUCAAAAACUAAAGUAUGAACAAUACGCUUCACUGUAAUCUUCAUGAGAACCGAGAAUAUCAGGAACUGAAAAGCAAUAAGCGGAAACGUUGAUACAAAGCAACUCCAGGAGAAGAGUGCAAAGUAAAUAGAUUGUUUACCGGCGCGGAUAAGAAUAUCAGGAACAGACCAACCCAAUCGAUCAAAGGCACGACCAGUAAAUCCCUGCACAUUCAACCCCAAAGCGAAGGGCCACAUCAGAAAUCAUAACGCUAGGCAUAAAUAACUAAGCAAAGGUUGUGGGAAUUCACCCAAGGAUUAGGUCCAAUUCGUUGAAAUCAUCACCAUAUGCCUCCUUGACGUGGGCCUCAAUGCCUCAUGUAUCCUUGAUUGCAUGCCCUUUGCAGCAGCGACGACAGAUCAUGAAUACGACCAUGAAAGCGUCGGCCUGAAUUUGCAGCUCGGGAGUUGAGGG